UAGAGAUAGCUGGUUAUUCAGGAAAAGGAUAUUAGUCCCACUUUAAACCUCAACGUAACAUCAAAUACACCAACAGCUUUAAAACUCAUUCAAAUAAGGUUCAGCCUAUUUGAAACAGGAUACAACCUAUGACAUCGGGUAAUGUCCAAAUCCCGUGACCAAGUAGGCCUAAGAGCAGCCACCUUCCAAAAAGCGUUACAGCCUAAUCACACCCCAUCAUCAAUUUCAACAUAAACCCAAAACCCCUCACCCAUACUGAAUGACUCCAUACUAAUAUGGAAAACCUUAUGUUAGAACCAGUAACAAGAAUAAUAUUCUCCAAAAGUAAAUGUAAGCCGGAAUGAACUAAUCGCCGGCACUUACCGCUAAUGAACCCAUAGUAGUAACAACACAAGAAAACCCUACUUCCCCCAGCGUUAACCUUACACUAGAGCUUUUCUGGAAAGAUUAAAAAAAGAGGAAGGAACUCGGCAAACAUUGACCCCGCCUGUUUACCAA
rnacentral:rRNA from 1 species